rnacentral:rRNA from 1 species
AACGAACGCUGGCGGCAGGCUUAACACAUGCAAGUCGAGCGCCCCGCAAGGGGAGCGGCAGACGGGUGAGUAACGCGUGGGAAUCUACCCAUCACUACGGAACAACUCCGGGAAACUGGAGCUAAUACCGUAUACGUCCUUCGGGAGAAAGAUUUAUCGGUGAUGGAUGAGCCCGCGCUGGAUUAGCUAGUUGGUGGGGUAAUGGCCCACCAAGGCGACGAUCCAUAGCUGGUCUGAGAUGAUGAUCAGCCACACUGGGACUGAGACACGGCCCAGACUCCUACGGGAGGCAGCAGUGGGGAAUAUUGGACAAUGGGCGCAAGCCUGAUCCAGCCAUGCCGCGUGAGUGAUGAAGGCCCUAGGGUUGUAAAGCUCUUUCACCGGUGAAGAUAAUGACGGUAACCGGAGAAGAAGCCCCGGCUAACUUCGUGCCAGCCGCCGCGGUAA